rnacentral:miRNA from 1 species
UAUUAGGUUGGUGCAAAAGUAAUCGCGGUUUUCGCCAUUAAAAGUAAUGGUGAAAAUUGAGAUUCCUUUUGAACCAACCUAAA